rnacentral:rRNA from 1 species
AGUGAACGCUGGCGGUAGGCCUAACACAUGCAAGUCGAACGGCAGCACAGUAAGAGCUUGCUCUUACGGGUGGCGAGUGGCGGACGGGUGAGGAAUACAUCGGAAUCUACUUUUUCGUGGGGGAUAACGUAGGGAAACUUACGCUAAUACCGCAUACGACCUACGGGUGAAAGCAGGGGAUCUUCGGACCUUGCGCGAUUGAAUGAGCCGAUGUCGGAUUAGCUAGUUGGCGGGGUAAAGGCCCACCAAGGCGACGAUCCGUAGCUGGUCUGAGAGGAUGAUCGUCCACACUGGAACUGAGACACGGUCCAGACUCCUACGGGAGGCAGCAGUGGGGAAUAUUGGACAAUGGGCGCAAGCCUGAUCCAGCCAUACCGCGUGGGUGAAGAAGGCCUUCGGGUUGUAAAGCCCUUUUGUUGGGAAAGAAAAGCAGCAGGUUAAUACCCCGCUGUUCUGACGGUACCCAAAGAAUAAGCACCGGCUAACUUCGUG